rnacentral:misc_RNA from 1 species
GGAAGGGGUUCGCCGCUG